CUCCCGCUUUUGCUCGUGCGGGCUCCCGCUCCAGCUCUUCCCGGCUGCCCGGGGCCAAGGCGACGUGAGGUUGUAAAAAUCCAUGUGGGACGGCCCCGGGGCGAGCUUCGGAAAGAUCUCUGACUAGUCUGACUUCUCAGACUGAGAAGAAUGCAGUGAAAAUUCUGGCCAAGCAUGGAAAUAUUGGCUUAAUCCCCAACUGUAUAUAACAUUCCUUCUCUUCAGUAGCACUUCAUAAUAGAAGCAAAAUGUAUGGCAGUGCAAGAACAAUCACCAAUCUGGAGGGGAGCCCUUCUAGAUCUCCCCGUUUGCCAAGGUCUCCUCGUUUGGGUCAUAGACGAACAAGUAGUGGGGGAGGUGGAGGAACAGGCAAGACUCUGUCCAUGGAAAAUAUUCAGUCCCUUAAUGCAGCCUAUGCUACUUCUGGGCCCAUGUAUCUGAGUGAUCAUGAAGGAGUGGCUUCAACAACUUAUCCAAAGGGCACUAUGACUCUGGGAAGGGCCACAAAUCGAGCUGUAUAUGGAGGUCGAGUCACAGCCAUGGGAAGUAGUCCCAAUAUUGCUUCAGCUGGACUUUCUCACACAGAUGUCCUUUCAUACACGGAUCAACAUGGCGGUCUGACAAGCUCAUCCCAUCAUCACCACCACCAGGUCCCCUCCAUGUUGAGGCAGGUAAGGGAUAGCACAAUGUUAGACCUUCAAGCCCAGCUCAAGGAACUUCAGAGAGAGAAUGACCUCCUGCGGAAAGAGCUAGACAUCAAGGAUAGCAAGUUGGGAUCUUCCAUGAAUAGUAUCAAGACCUUCUGGAGUCCUGAACUCAAGAAGGAGAGAGUCUUGAGGAAAGAAGAGGCAGCCCGGAUGUCUGUACUCAAGGAGCAGAUGAGGGUUUCCCAUGAAGAAAAUCAGCACCUGCAGCUGACCAUCCAGGCCCUUCAGGAUGAGCUGCGGACCCAGCGAGACCUCAACCACCUUCUGCAGCAAGAGAGUGGAAACCGGGGUGCCGAGCACUUCACCAUCGAACUGACUGAGGAGAACUUCCGGAGGCUCCAGGCCGAGCAUGACAGACAGGCCAAGGAGCUGUUCCUUUUGAGGAAGACCUUAGAAGAAAUGGAGCUGAGAAUUGAAACACAGAAACAGACCCUUAAUGCCCGGGAUGAAUCCAUUAAAAAGCUUCUUGAGAUGUUGCAAAGUAAAGGUUUGCCGUCCAAAAGCCUCGAGGAUGACAAUGAACGGACACGGCGGAUGGCAGAGGCGGAAUCUCAGGUCAGCCACUUAGAAGUGAUCUUAGACCAGAAGGAGAAGGAAAACAUACAUCUUAGAGAGGAAUUGCACCGAAGAAGCCAACUUCAGCCGGAGCCAGCCAAGACGAAGGCUCUCCAGACUGUCAUUGAAAUGAAGGACACAAAAAUCGCUUCAUUGGAGCGAAACAUAAGGGAUCUUGAGGAUGAGAUCCAGAUGUUAAAAGCCAAUGGUGUGCUGAACACUGAGGACCGCGAAGAAGAGAUCAAACAAAUAGAGGUUUACAAAAGUCACUCCAAGUUUAUGAAGACCAAGAUUGAUCAACUGAAGCAAGAACUUUCAAAGAAGGAGUCAGAACUUCUUGCCUUACAAACAAAGCUUGAAACCCUUAGCAAUCAAAACUCAGAUUGCAAGCAACACAUUGAAGUGCUUAAAGAGUCACUUACAGCCAAAGAACAGAGGGCUGCCAUCCUUCAGACUGAGGUAGAUGCAUUGAGAUUACGACUGGAAGAGAAAGAAUCUUUCCUCAAUAAAAAAACAAAACAGCUACAGGACCUCACGGAAGAGAAGGGGACACUGGCUGGAGAGAUUCGGGACAUGAAAGAUAUGUUAGAAGUAAAGGAGAGAAAAAUCAAUGUUCUUCAGAAAAAGAUUGAAAAUUUGCAAGAACAACUUAGGGAUAAAGACAAGCAACUGACCAAUCUGAAAGACAGAGUGAAGUCCUUGCAGACUGACUCCAGUAAUACGGAUACGGCACUGGCGACACUUGAGGAGGCCUUGUCAGAGAAGGAGAGAAUAAUUGAACGUUUAAAAGAACAGCGGGAGAGAGAUGACCGAGAAAGACUAGAAGAGAUAGAGUCCUUCCGAAAAGAGAACAAAGACCUGAAAGAGAAGGUCAAUGCUUUACAAGCUGAACUCACUGAAAAAGAGUCUAGUUUAAUUGACCUCAAAGAACAUGCGUCUUCAUUAGCUUCAGCAGGACUGAAGAGGGAUUCCAAAUUAAAAUCUCUAGAAAUAGCCAUUGAACAAAAAAAAGAAGAAUGUAGCAAAUUGGAAGCACAGUUAAAAAAGCAAGCUGAGCAGUUGUUCAAUCAGAUGUACAAUCCAGCUCAUAAUAUUGAAGAUGACUCCAGGAUGAACCCUGAAUUUGCUGACCGAAUGAAGCAACUUGAUAAAGAGGCGUCUUACUACCGCGAUGAGUGUGGCAAGGCCCAGGCGGAAGUUGACCGGUUGCUGGAGAUCCUCAAGGAGGUGGAGAAUGAAAAGAAUGACAAGGACAAGAAGAUUGCUGAACUCGAGAGGCAUAUGAAAGAUCAGAAUAAGAAGGUGGCCAACCUCAAGCACAAUCAACAGUUAGAAAAGAAGAAGAAUGCUCAGUUACUGGAAGAAGUUCGCAGGCGAGAAGAUAGCAUGGCUGACAACUCGCAACACUUGCAGAUAGAGGAACUGAUGAACGCAUUGGAGAAGACCAGACAGGAGCUAGAUGCCACCAAAGCACGCCUCGCAUCCACACAGCAGUCCCUAGCUGAAAAGGAAGCUCACUUGGCCAACCUCCGGAUGGAAAGGAGAAAACAGCUCGAGGAGAUCCUGGAGAUGAAACAGGAAGCACUGCUUGCAGCAAUCAGUGAGAAAGAUGCUAACAUUGCCUUGCUGGAGUUGUCUGCCUCCAAGAAGAAAAAGACGCAAGAAGAAGUCAUGGCCCUCAAGAGGGAAAAAGAUCGAUUAGUGCAUCAGUUAAAACAGCAGGUUUAUAGACCUAGGAAACAGCCCCUGAGCUCGAAUAUACCAUGCACUUGUGAUGCUGGCUACAGCCCAGAUAUUACGGCCACGUACCACGGGUCAAGCUACGAUGCUUACAUGAUCCAAAGGUCUCAGACCCAGAACAGAAUGAAGCUGAUGGCAGACAACUACGAUGAGGAUCACCACCAUUACCACCACCACCACCACCACCACCACCACCGAUCUCCUGGGAGGUCGCAACAUUCCAAUCACAGGCCCUCUCCUGACCAGGAUGACGAGGAGGGCAUAUGGGCAUAGCCGGGCCUGUAAACCAAAGUUCCAGUUUUGUUUUGAGGGAUGAUCCAGCUCUGUCGGAGGCACGGAGGCACAGUCAAAUCUCAUGCUGUACAUUGAUCACCUGUCCAACCUUUGCCUAGAGUGGGAGCCCCCAGUUCCUUCAAGAGAUCCAACUUUACCUGUCUGUAAAGAAGAAGAGGAGGAGGGAGACAGCAGGGAGGAUCCGGUGGCAGUUUAACACCAGAGCAGCUAUCAGAAGGGCUGAAUAAAAAGAAAAUGCAGCUCUACAGCGAUAUUCCGAUAAUCUAUUGCAGUGCGGCUCACAUCACUGUCCAUCACCACCUGGAAUGGCUCAUCAGGACUGAAGAGGAGUUUUCACUUUCAUUAUUGAGCAUGUUUCUGUUGGAUUUGAUAUUUCCUUCAUCAUCCCAUGUCCUUUCUCGUGGGUUCAUAUAUAUGGGAAAGGAAGAAUGUGGCAGAGAAGGAAAAAAAUGACAGAUUGCCCAUAUCUGGUCUGGAUGUGGGCAUUGAACAUGUGAUCAUCUCUUCUGAAUGUCAUUAUUUGAUAACAAUUAUGUUACUUAGACAUCCUCAGAUAAAUUUGAGCUCCGUGGGAUUUAACUGUGGAUUCAGCUUCUGUUGGACAACUAGCUUCAUCUCCAGUUUUUCUGCUGGCUCAGUCGAAGUGGGCAUUCCUAAUGCAUUAGAUUAUCAAAAAGAGUAAAUUCUCUGUGAGUGAAUGGUGUUGGCAGUGUUUGUAUACUGAGAUGCAUGGAGUGUUUGACAAAGAAACCAAAACACCAAAAACGGCGAGCCUUUACCCUCCUCUAUUUCUUUAAUCUGCUGUUUGAAGAACCACAUUUUGAUGGUGUAACCAGUAGUUACCUCUGGGCCAGGUUGGAAAUGAAAUCAAUUUUUUAAACCACUAAUACUUGCCAAGAAAUCGCCUUAUGAGAACAUGGUGUGUGUCUCUGACAAUGCAUGGCACAUCUAAAUUAAUCAUUCAUGAUUUUAUCUACCCUGUUUAUGUACCGAAGAGUGGCAAAAGCCUGAGGCACCUGCCUGUUUCUCUCUCUGUAUUGAAUGUGUCCCCACAGCUGGGAUGUGGCCAAGCCUCAGACUUUUUCCAUUCCCUUACAUGCAGGGCUCCAUGAAAAAGCUGGGACUCAUUCUCAUUUCAAGAUCCAAAUGCUGUGCAAACAGUAUAAGCUUAGAUCGUCUGUAAAUGAAGGUUCAUUUCUCAUUUUUUAAAAAUGUCUAUAACACGAAUUCCAAAGCCUUUUCAACAUUCAAUCAAAAACAUUGAUGAAUGAGGAAUAAUCACAAAAGCUGUGUACCUGUAUAUAGCUCUACAUAACAUGUUUGUGGGUACAAAAUCAUUAUUUAAAGCACAUGCCAGGGAAGGAGACCAAAUUUUGUGGUCUUUCACAUACAGUGACAUGGUACUAAGGAGAAUUAAACUCCUACUGCUUACUCUGAAGAUUAAAAAAAAUAAUAAUAAGUUGUUGUAACUUCUUAGAACUCAUGACCAAGUCUGGCAAACACGUGCAACUAUUGUAUUGAUCCAUUUUUUGUCAAUGGAAGAUACUCUUCCACAUGUAUGCAAGUAGGAGAUGAAAAUCUGCAUUUUUAAAGGACAAACAGUGAAUUUAAGCAUGAGUGGCCUUAAUAAAUAUAGUUGUCUUUCUUUGCUGCUGUGGAAAGGAUUCUAAACAUAUGUUCCUGAAGUCUUGCAUUGAAUUUACUUGUUAUGAUUACUUUUUAAAAUGUUGGUGCAAUGAACUCUGGACCUCUCUUGUGAGCCAUAGAGAUAUUCAAAAGAUAGACAUCUUAUUUUUCAGGGAAGAUGAAACCAUCCCUGAUUGGCACCUGGUCGGUGCAUUAGGAAUAAUAUACUCAAGCAGGUUUCUUGCUUCUGGCUUUGUUCUUGUCGUCAGCAAGUACAACGAACUCUGUGAAGCUUAAGUGUUGCAUAAACAAUCCAAAUACAUUCAUGUUUAAAAAGUUUGUCCUUUAACUAUCAAAGCAAUCUAGGUCUUGAUUGGAGGAAAUGAGCAAAGUUCUUUGCAAGCAUAUUUAGCACAUUUUGACAUAAUGUCACACUGAAAACCCAGGCCACAAACGCGUCCCCAUGAACAGUUAGGGUGUCCUCAAGUAGGUGGUCCUCAUUGUUUCCUACAAAAAGGUCCUGACCUGAACUCUGUAACUGAAUACUUGAACUUUUCCCACCAGGGAAAAGAGGGUCCUGAAAACAGGAAAAGCAACAACCACGUAUCGAGAGUUAUUUCUAAGUAUGUGCCAAUUUUGUCAUGGCUGUUGUUUAGGGGAUCAUGUUUUGCCCCCACUUUGUUGGUUUUUAAAGUACUGAUCUUACCUUUAUUGGGGACAUACCAUUUUGUUUCUUAUAAUUCAAUUCUGUCUAGCAUAGAAUCUUUUCCUAUUCCAUGUAAUAUUCUCUGAUGUUGGGGAGGUUACCAAAAAAAAUCCUUUUUCACAUAUUAAAAUAGUCUCUGGGUUUACAACAAACACUGUGAUGUCGGGGAGAUAUUUCCUUUGUGCAAACUUUAGCAGGUUCCCCUCUGAUCAUAAAGAAGUUGCAAAAAGUUGAGGCUGACAUUUCAGAGAAGUUGGUCUUCUUACUUUGUGCAAAAGCAGGCUUGUACUUUAUACCCCAUUUGAUUUCCAUGUACAAUCUCGAUUUUGUAUUUACUGACUUUUGUGUUUUCAGUAUGCACGUUAACAGCGUGUCAACUUUCAUUUGAAAAUGGGUUUCGAUUUACUUUUUAAACAGUGUUUAUGAUGAGAUCUCCGAUGUGUUGACAUAAGCUCUAUCUGAGAUGUUUUUGUGUAGAGUGGCGUUUGAAUGCUGCCAAGGGUCAGUGUAUCUAAUUCCCCGAGACCCUAGUUUGAUAGUGCUUCUUGUAAUAUUUCUUUAAGUGAGUGGCAUGUGGGUUGUGAUUUUGACCAUGUGAUUAUGGACUUCGAUAUGAAAAAAAUAAAUAAAAUUAAGGAACCCUCAGAAACUACCAGUGGGCAUGUAUUAGCCAGUCAUUGUAACCUUGUGUCUAGUAGAAGUACAACAUGCAGGUAUGUACAGUUCAUAAAUUUGUUAUCAUGUGUAUGAGAAGUACUUUGUGCUGAUCGCCUUAUUUAUAUUCAUCAAAUAAACUUUGUUUCUUUCUGAAGUAAGUUCAUUCCAUCUCUAAUAAAUACUCUA